UCCCUCCCUCCCUCUGCAGACUGUCUGGCCCCACCUGACAGGUUGGAGCAGGGGGGGGGGAGGGACGGGGCCUCCUAAUGGCCCAGCCCAGAAAAGGAGUAUCUUCUCUGCCCAUGAGGUGGGGGCCAGCA